rnacentral:lncRNA from 1 species
CUAGUCUGCUUUGCUUCUGCAUUUUUAACUUCUCUCUGAAGCCAGGUGACUUCUACACCUUGUAUUAAAGAAUGAGUUUCUUGACUCAGUUCUUUCCUGGGAAUGAAUGUUCAUGUAUAUUCCCAUCUGUAUUUUUGAUCAGUGAACUACAGAGAUAUACAAUAUUUUAGAUGGAUUUUUUAACUAUGAUGUAAUUGUCAGAAAGUUGAUAAAGCUGAUGAAUUUUAUGAACUUAUAUUUUACUGAAUAUUUAUCUUCAAGAUAGUUGCAGUUUGCCUUAAAGUAAUAAGGAUAAAAGAUUUGUAGAAAAUUAUCUUGUUACUAUUUAUGCCUGACAGUAAACCUUAUUUAUGUAUUUAUCUCUAAUAGAAACACAUUUUAAGAGGGAGAGAACAGCAGAUAAAAAACUGUGUGUAUGUCUUGUAGAUUAUUUUAUAGUAGCUUCAAAAUUACCUUAUAUUUAGGAUGACUUAUAUUUUGGUGGAGAGUUAAGGAUGCUGGUUUUGAGGGUAGAACUUAAAAUUGUCAGAUCUUAUAUUAGCUUUUGUGGGUUCCUUAAAAGAUUAUUUAUGUGUGUGGUGGGGGGAUACACUCAGAAGUCAGAAGAGGGAGUUGUAGCCCCUCAAGUUGGAGGUCAAAUGCUUGUGGUGUACGUGCCGUGGGUGCUGGGAAGCAAGCCUCUGAAAGAACAGGAGGCACUCUUAACUGCUAAGCCAUCUCUCUAGCCUCCUCAUUUCAAAUUUGUUUUGUGUGUUUGUCUUUUGUUUUUGUCUUUUUUAGGCAAGGUCUCACUGUGUGGAUCUGGCCAGGAGCUCACUAUGUGGAUUUGGAUGGCCUCAUACUCACAGAGAUCCACCUGCCUCUGCCUCUGCCUCUGCCUCUGCCUCUGGAGUGCUGGGAUUAAAGGCAUAUGCCUAAGCCCACCUUAUUUCAGGUUUUUGAAAUUUCAGUAUUUUAUUGUUGUGGUCUACUUAAGAGACUUAAAAAGCAUUGGUUUUCACCAUAUCUGAGAGGCCAGUCUGCUACAUAUCAAGAACCUCUUUCAAAAACUAAACCAAAACAGAAUUGUUUUUUUCAGACUCCUGGUGCCAGAUUCCUUUAAGUGACAGGUACAUUAAAUUUUACAUUAAAAAAAAAAAAAGUGGCAAGGCAUAAUUUUUACCAGAGAAAUGACAAUCCAGUUAAACCAAACAAUCCUUUGUGCUCUCUCAAUUUUCAGCAAUGUACUAAUUAAUGCCCUGUAAACUAUGAAUACCACUACUAACCAGCAGGGGGAGUGAGUCGGCCUUGAAAGGUAAGCGUUAGGAAGGCCACAUGACUUCCUGUUUUGCAUUUAACUGUUGUGGCAGCUGUUCUCCUGUUUUAGUCUAGUGUAGC